rnacentral:rRNA from 1 species
CGAUCAAACUCGUUAUUUAAAAGAUGACGAGCUGAUGUAGCGAAAGAGGAAGGGACGGCUAACUCUGUGCCAGCAGCCGCGGUAAUACAGAGGUCCAAGCGUUGUUCGGAUUCACUGGGCGUAAAGGGUGCGUAGGUGGUGGGGUAAGUCGGAUGUGAAAGCUCGGAGCUCAACUCCGAAAUGGCAUUGGAAACUACCCUGCUAGAGGAUUGGAGGGGGGACUGGAAUACUUGGUGUAGCAGUGAAAUGCGUAGAUAUCAAGUGGAACACCAGUGGCGAAGGCGAGUCCCUGGACAAUACCUGACACUGAGGCACGAAAGCUAGGGGAGCAAACAGGAUUAGAUACCCUGGUAGUCCUAGCCGUAAACGGUGCACGUUUGCUGUAAAAGGAAUCGACCCCUUUUGUGGCGUAGCUAACGCGUUAAACGUGCCGCCUGGGAAGUACGGUCGCAAGAUUAAAACUCAAAGAAAUUGACGGGGGCCUGCACAAGCGGUGGAGUAUGUGGCUCAAUUCGAUGCAACGCGAAGAACCUUACCUGGCCUUGACAUGCAUAUAGUAGAAGGGUGAAAGCCUGACGAGGUAGCAAUACCAGUAUGCACAGGUGCUGCAUGGCUGUCGUCAGCUCGUGUCGUGAGAUGUUGGGUUAAGUCCCGCAACGAGCGCAACCCCUGUGUCCUGUUGCCACCCGGCCGAGAGGCUGGAGCACUCUGGACAGACUGCCUCGCUUAAACGAGGAGGAAGGUGGGGAUGACGUCAAGUCAGUAUGGCCCUUACGGCCAGGGCUGCACACGUACUACAAUGCCCGGCACAAAGGGAAGCAAGACCGCAAGGUGGAGCAAAUCCCCAAAAACCGGGCCCAGUUCAGAUUGUCGUCUGCAACUCGACGACAUGAAGUUGGAAUCGCUAGUAAUGGCGCAUCAGCUACGGCGCCGUGAAUACGUUCCCAGGCCUUGUACACACCGCCCGUCACAUCAUGAAAGCCGUUUGUACCCGAAGUCACUGUGCCAACCGCAAGGGGGCAGGUGCCGAAGGUAGGA